CAGCCGCCGCGGGAAUACGUAGGUGGCAAGCGUUGUCCGGAAUUAUUGGGCGUAAAGGGCUCGCAGGCGGUUUCUUAAGUCUGAUGUGAAAGCCCCCGGCUCAACCGGGGAGGGUCAUUGGAAACUGGGAAACUUGAGUGCAGAAGAGGAGAGUGGAAUUCCACGUGUAGCGGUGAAAUGCGUAGAGAUGUGGAGGAACACCAGUGGCGAAGGCGACUCUCUGGUCUGUAAUUGACGCUGAGGAGCGAAAGCGUGGGGAGCGAACAGGAUUAGAUACCCCUGUAGUCCCUGUCUCUUAUAC
rnacentral:rRNA from 1 species